rnacentral:rRNA from 1 species
CCAAUAGCGUAUAUUAAAGUUGUUGCAGUUAAAAAGCUCGUAGUUGAAUUUCGGGGUUUAUCCGUUGGUCGGGCUUUUGGGUCUGUACUGGCGUGAUGGAUUCCUACCUUCUGAAUAACCAGCAUGUCAUUAAUUUGGUGCGUUGGGGAAGCAGGACUGUUACCUUGAAAAAAUUAGAGUGCUUAAAGCAGGCUAUUGCCUGAAUACAUUAGCAUGGAAUAAUGAAAUAGGACGCAUGGUUCUAUUUUGUUGGUUUCUAGGAUCACCGUAAUGAUUAAUAGGGAUAGUUGGGGGCAUUAGUAUUCAAUUGUCGGAGGUGAAAUUCUUGGAUUUAUUGAAGACUAACUUCUGCGAAAGCAUUUGCCAAGGAUGUUUUCAUUAAUCAAGAACGAAAGUUAGGGGAUCGAAGACGAUCAGAUACCGUCGUAGUCUUAACCAUAAACUAUGCCGACUAGGGAUCGGACGAUGUUAAUUUUUUAAUGACUCGUUCGGCGCCUUACG